ACGGAGAAGCAUUGCGUCUGGUUAAAUGAACAUGAACCAUGGCUGUAUAGAGGAUGUAUUUAAGAAAAUAGUGUAUAAAGAAGAUAUGGCAUUCACUGCGCAAUUGAUGAUUUAGGUGGCUUGGAAGUGAAGGAGUUCAUGGAGCUUUUCAAUUCACAUGCUAGACAACAUAUUUAAAGAAAGCAUUGGUUGAAGAAAUGAUCUCAUGAUGAUGAUGAGGAUCGCCUUGAAAACUGUAUUUUCCCAAGAG